UUGGGGUGUAUGUAUAUUCAGGCAUUUUGUGAGGUGUUGGACCAUGUUAACUUUCUGGUUCUUUCUUUGUAAAAGAUUGGAAAAGAUGCCAAACUGUGUUGAGUCGGUGUCUUGAAAUUGUAGGGAAGUUUUCAUGAAUUUCUGAUGGUAUGUAUGACAUGGUGGUACCUUACCCGGUUUCUUGGUUUUUUUAACUUUUCUCUUUUGCUGGACCAUACCUCUGAAAAGGUCAAUUAAUCGCAUAUGUAAAGUGUUGUUCACCCUCCCUGCCUUGUCCCCAU
rnacentral:lncRNA from 1 species